UACAGUUACUUCCAUUAAUAUCUGAACAACUUUUAAAACAGAAUAACUUCUUUGAAAUUGGAUCAACUAUUUAAGCUUUUUUGAAAAGUUAAAAUAGUUAGUUUACUAAAUAAUAUAUAAAGAAAAUUCUGGGAAAAUUGCAAUUGGUCGGAAUUGCGAAGACGAUAGUAAAGAUCGGUUUUUACAACUUUUUUUUAUUAAGCCUGUAAUGAAAAUUUAGACAAUACGUUUCGUCAAUUAUAUUGUACAUGUUGAAAAUGUCAUAAAAAUUGGUCAAAACUGGUGAAGAUUGCAGUUUUUUUUACAGCUUUCAGCCUAUGGCCUAUAUAGCUAUAAUAAAUUUAAAGGUUCUUAAAUCCUUCGAUGUCAGCCAAUUGUUUCAGUAUUAAUCGAUCUCGAUGAAAUUUUCAGAAUGUAAAUAACUGAUAUAAAUCUACAAAUCAUAUUGUUUACAUUUUCAUUAUAGGCUCAGAUAAAAGAAUCGUAAGAAGCAACUUACACAAUUUUCUUCGCGAUUUCAACCAACUGCAAUUUUUUUAAUUUUUUGUACACGUCAUCUAUAUAUAUAAUAAACUAGUAAUAUAUAGUAUAUAGUAAAACUAAAUAUAUAGUAAAUAUCCUAACUUCUCCAAAAACUCAAGAUAUUUAACCCAAUCUUGAAAAAGUUAUUUUGCUUUAAACGCUAUACAAAUAUUAACAUAAACGACUCUGUUUAAGAAAAGAUUUUGAAAUAUUCAUACAGGAUAUACAUAAUUUUCGUAACAUUAUCUACGAACUGUAACUAUUAGUGUGCGCUUUUGCAACCGUGUAAAAAUGCUAAUUUUUACAUCUGUAACUUCCAUAAAUGCAUAAACAACCACAGUUUAUUUAGGAAAUAUGAGAUGUAAUAAAAAUAGGAAAGGAAAGGCAAAAUGAUUACAAUUAGAUACUUUGCAUGGAGAUUUAUUUCUUUAGGCGACUUCAGCAGGUCUCUGUCCACCUACAACUCUAUGAUUCUUUGACAAGUAGUC